UACGUAGGGGGCAAGCGUUGUCCGGAUUUAUUGGGCGUAAAGCGCGUGUAGGCGGCCAGGUAGGUCCGUUGUGAAAACUCGAGGCUCAACCUCGAGCUGUCGGCGGAAACCAUCCGGCUAGAGUCCGGAAGAGGAGAGUGGAAUUCCCGGUGUAGCGGUGAAAUGCGCAGAUAUCGGGAAGAACACCUAUGGCGAAGGCAGCUCUCUGGACCACAACUGACGCUGAGGCGCGAAAGCUAGGGGAGCAAACAGG
rnacentral:rRNA from 1 species